GGGCCCGCACAAGCAGUGGAGUAUGUGGUUUAAUUCGAAGCAACGCGAAGAACCUUACCAGGGCUUGACAUGCAGGUGAAUAAUGUAGAGAUACAUUAGGCCUUCGGGACACCUGUGCAGGUGGUGCAUGGUUGUCGUCAGCUCGUGUCGUGAGAUGUUGGGUUAAGUCCCGCAACGAGCGCAACCCCUGUUGUUAGUUGCCAUCAUUAAGUUGGGCACUCUAACGAGACUGCCGGUGACAAAUCGGAGGAAGGUGGGGACGACGUCAAAUCAUCAUGCCCCUUAUGUCCUGGGCUACACACGUACUACAAUGGCUAUAACAGCAGGGAGCUAAGGAGUAAUCCGGAGCAAAUCCUCAAAAAUAGUCCCAGUUCGAAUUGUGGGCUGAAACUCGCCCACAUGAAGUCGGAAUUGCUAGUAAUGGCAGGUCAGCAUACUGCCGUGAAUACGUUCCCGGGCCUU
rnacentral:rRNA from 1 species